rnacentral:rRNA from 1 species
CUACGGGUUGCUGCAGUGAGGAAUUUUGCGCAAUGGGGGAAACCCUGACGCAGCAACACUGCGUGAGUGAUGAAGGUCUUAGGACCGUAAAGCUCUGUCAAGUGGGAAGAACCUGUGAGGGAAUAAUACUUCCUCGCACUGACGGUACCACUGAAGGAAGCACCGGCUAACUCCGUGCCAGCAGCCGCGGUAAUACGGGGGGUGCAAGCGUUAUUCGGAAUUAUUGGGCGUAAAGAGCGCGUAGGCGGUCUUUUAAGUCAGAUGUGAAAGCCCGGGGCUCAACUCCGGAAGUGCAUUUGAACUAAAAGACUUGAGUAUGGGAGAGGGAAGUGGAAUUCCUGGUGUAGAGGUGAAAUUCGUAGAUAUCAGGAGGAACACCGGUGGCGAAGGCGACUUCCUGGACCAAUACUGACGCUGAGGCGCGAAGGCGUGGGUAGCAAACAGGAUUAGAUACCCCUGUAGUC